rnacentral:pre_miRNA from 1 species
AGGUAAGCAUCUGGGGAUCUCUGCAAAAUACAGAUUCUGAUUGAGUUUUUGCCUUUGGGUCUGAGCUUCUGCAUUUCUGACAAGCUCUCAGGUGAUGUUAAG